UAGUCCACGCCGUAAACGAUGGAUACUAGCUGUCGGGACUUCGGUCUCGGCGGCCAAGCGAAAGUGAUAAGUAUCCCACCUGGGGAGUACGUUCGCAAGAAUGAAACUCAAAGGAAUUGACGGGGGCCCGCACAAGCGGUGGAGCAUUUGGUUUAAUUCGAUGAUACGCGAGGAACCUUACCAGGGCUUAAAUGUAGUAUGACAGGACUAGAGAUAGUUUUUUCUUCGGACAUAUUACAAGGUGCUGCAUGGUUGUCGUCAGCUCGUGCCGUGAGGUGUCAGGUUAAGUCCUAUAACGAGCGCAACCCCUACCGUUAGUUGCCAGCAUGUAAAGAUGGGGACUCUAACGGGACUGCCGGUGCAAACCGUGAGGAAGGUGGGGACGACGUCAAAUCAUCACGGCCCUUACGUCCUGGGCCACACACGUGCUACAAUGGCCGGUACAGGGGAAGCCACCCCGCAAGGGGCGCGGAUCUAUAAAACCGGUCACAGUUCGGAUCGGGGUCUGCAACUCGACCCCGUGAAGCUGGAAUCGCU
rnacentral:rRNA from 1 species